rnacentral:rRNA from 1 species
AAUCAACGCUGGCGGCGUGCCUCAGACAUGCAAGUCGAACGAGAAAGUUUCCUUCGGGGAAUGAGUAAAGUGGCGCACGGGUGAGUAACACGUAGGUAAUCUACCUUCGGGUGGGGAAUAACCCAGGGAAACUUGGGCUAACACCGCAUAAUGCAGCGGCACCACAUGGUGACAGUUGUUAAAGCGGGGGGAGUUUUAGGACCUCGCGCCUGAAGAGGAGCCUGCGGCGGAUUAGCUAGUUGGUAAGGUAACGGCUUACCAAGGCGACGAUCCGUAACCGGCCUGAGAGGGGCGGGUCGGUCACACUGACACUGACAUAC